rnacentral:lncRNA from 1 species
AGAGGUUCCAUGCAUGCAAACUUUGGAUCCGAAGACCUCUGAAUUGGAAUACUAGUUUCACAACAUCCCAGCUGUGUGGCCUGAGACAAACCACUUAGCCACUGCACCCCUCUGAACCUCAAUGUGUCAUUUGUAAAGCAAUGGUAAUGAGAUAAUCCAUCUAAGGUGCUUCGCUCAUCACCCGACCCAUGCACGCGCUUCCUGGUAGCUAUGCAUAUUUCCAUCAUGAAUUCCCUUCGCCUGCAGCCUCAGCUUAGGCUGGAGGAAGAUCACCUUUUUUUGUUUUGGGGUGAGGGGGUUGUUGUUAUUUUGAGUCAGGAUCUCACUCUGUCACCUAGGCUGCACUGCAGUGCUAUCACAAC